rnacentral:rRNA from 1 species
AGCGCAGGUGGUUUAAUAAGUCUGAUGUAAAAGGCAGUGGCUCAACCAUUGUGUGCAUUGGAAACUGUUAGACUUGAGUGCAGUAGAGGAGAGUGGAAUUCCAUGUGUAGCGGUGAAAUGCGUAGAUAUAUGGAGGAACACCGGUGGCGAAAGCGGCUCUCUGGACUGUCACUGACACUGAGGCUCGAAAGCGUGGGUAGCAAACA